UAUAUAUAUACAUAUAUAUAUAUAACAUAAAAAGGGGCGAUUGCCUCGUCACCCUUUUUGGUGCGGGGGGAGGGUUUCUUCUCCCACGCGGGCAAAAAAACAAGCGACGUCCCUUUGUUUUACUUAUAAAUUAACAUAUGACUUCUAAAUUUUUUGGAAAAUCAGUUCACUUAGUAUACCAAUAAAAUGCAUUGAAGUAAUUCUUGAAAUAAUUGAACUCUUCAAAACAAUUUGCAAUAUUUCAUUAACAAAUUCAGAAGGCUUAACAGAGAGAGAGAGAUGGGGGACCAAUUCACUAAUUCAAAUGAAGGUAAAGUGUGUGUUUAAGCUAAGCUUCUGGUUCGAAUGAUACAUUGCCCCAAGAUGUAAACGUUCAGAAUCUUAUAAGUUCUUCCUGCAUUCUUUCAUUUUGUUAGUUCAUUUUUUAUAAACAAUAUCUAGCAUAUCAGCUUGGAUAUAUAAAUUUGUCCACUUUUGGGAAAAAAAAAGUACACUGAUUGUUCAUUCAUGUACAAAUUCUCUCAAAUUUUUAUCCAAAGUGGGAGGCUUCAAGUCAAACACUAACAAGCACCUAGUAGAUGGAUCUUUUCUGGAUGGCUCCACGUCAAGCACGAAAUAUUCAAACCAUUUGAAACACGAGGGUAACAAAAAAAAUCUGACCAGUAUGAAUAACUAUUAUUCUGGAUAACAAGGGUGAGCUAAGCAUAUGUGCAUUAAUAAAAAAAAUACUAGAUGAUCUCAUUGGUAAUUGAUAAGACAUUCAUUCUCUUGUUCUUCGAUGCGUAAUUUCACAACAUAAAAUGAUUUCUAGUUUUACAAUUCAAACACCAACAACCACUAAUCAAGAGAAAAAGAAGGUUGUAUAUGCACCAUCCCCUUCUUGCAAAGGGUACACGCACCGUUGGCCACGAGCUUCUUAUUUGUCUUGAUCAGGCUCUGGAGUUUCCUGAGGAUCAUCAAUCUCCACCGCAUUAGCCUUGUCCAUAAGGCCAAUGAUAGUUUACAAGAUGUACAUGACGAUGGCAAGAGGCACAGAGGUAGAGGUGUUGGAAGGGAUGGUAACUUUGGUGAUGGAGACUUCAAAUGCUUACCCAAUAUUCAUUUUGUUUCUCCAUUACAUCCAAUAAGAUCAUCAAUAUAUUAUUAAAAAAAUGAUGACUUAAAUAAUUCAAUCGGAAUUAUCAUGUCAAAUUCAAACUUGGUACCACAUGUGAUAUUACUGGAAUCGCAAUAAAUAAUCACAACCGCUGCUGCUACCUUAAUCUCAGUAAACAAAUAGGGAAGUUGGAAACAAGAAAUACCAACUCAAAGGUCGGUGUUAUACUUACAAAAGGAAAAUUUCAGAUAUAGUGCUUGGAUGCUGAAACUUGUGGUAAAUGACCACAACAGCAGAAUUGAAAAAAUACUGAAAUAGUAGCCAUGUCAUUAAUUGGUGAACAUUUAUAUGAAACAUAACAAGCUUGUCUAUCAAGCUCAUGAACAUUGCUACUACUCUUCUACAGCUACAACUGAUUCAGCAAGAUAAAUCCCAUAGACUGAAACAAUCACAAAUCAGAACCUUCAGAUUCAAUAAAGAUCCUGUUAAUCGGAAGGACCCGAACUACUCCACUAUCACCAUAAUGAAGCAUUUGUGAACUAUUGAUCUAGUAAGCUAACUUCCAAAAUUUAGAACCUGCAUUAUAUCCCAUUUGGCACCAUUUUUCUAGCCCUAUCUUAGGAUCAGAAGUGUAUCUAUGUUGCAGAAGACCUAGUCUAUUCGUGGAAAGACAUGUAAAUUUGAUAUUUUUAUUCAUUUCACAGGGAAAAACAUAAUAAACAGAAUUACAAUGCCUCACCUUUAUCAAGCUCAUAGAUUUAUUUGUUUGGUAUCUCUUUACUAUUAUGAAAUAUACUGUGGUUUACAGUUCUCUUAGGUUGAAAUAACUGCUUUCUACAGAAAUUAUGACGCAUCUUACUAAAAUCAGAAAUGCAUUGAAGUAAUUCUUGGAAUAAUUGAACUUUUCAAACAAGUUUGCAAUAUUUCAUUAAAAAAUUCAGAAGGCUUAACAAAAAGAGAGAGGGGGGACCAAUUCACUAAUUCAAAUGAAGGUAAAGUAUGUGUUUAAGCUGAGCUUCUGGUUUGAAUGAUACAUUGCCCAAAGAUGUAAACAUUCAGAGUCUUGCGAGUUCUUCCUGCAUUCUUUCAUUUUGUUAGUUCAUUUUUUACAAACAAUGUUUAGCAUAUCAUCUUGCAUGUUUAAAUUUGUCC
rnacentral:lncRNA from 1 species